rnacentral:rRNA from 1 species
AUUGAACGCUAGCGGGAUGCUUUACACAUGCAAGUCGAACGAGUGGCGGAAGGGUGAGUAAUAUAUCGGAACGUGCGCAGUAGCGGGGGAUAACUACUAGAAAGAGUUGCUAAUACCGCACACUAUUGGAGCGGCCGAUAUCGGAUUAGCUAGUUGGGGGGGUAAAGGCUCACCAAGGCAACGAUCCGUACCUAGUUUGAGAGGACGACCAGCCACACUGGGACUGAGACACGGCCCAGACUCCUACGGGAGGCAGCAGUGGGGAAUUUUGGACAAUGGGGGAAACCCUGAUCCAGCCAUCCCGCGUGUGUGAGAAGGCCUUCGGGUUGUAAAGUACUUUUGGCAGAGAAGCGGUAUCUACAGAAUAAGCACCGGCUAACUACGUGCCAGCAGCCGCGGUAAUAC